UACGUAGGGUGCAAGCGUUAAUCGGAAUUACUGGGCGUAAAGCGUGCGCAGGCGGUUUUUUAAGUUUGUCGUGAAAGCCCCGGGCUCAACCUGGGAAUUGCGAUGAAGACUGCAAGGCUUGAAUCUGGCAGAGGGGGGUAGAAUUCCACGUGUAGCAGUGAAAUGCGUAGAGAUGUGGAGGAACACCGAUGGCGAAGGCAGCCCCCUGGGUCAAGAUUGACGCUCAUGCACGAAAGCGUGGGGAGCAAACAGG
rnacentral:rRNA from 1 species